rnacentral:rRNA from 1 species
UACAGAGGUGGCAAGCGUUGUUCGGAAUUACUGGGCGUAAAGGGCGCGUAGGCGGCCUGUUAAGUCCCGUGUGAAAUCCCUCGGCUCAACCGAGGAACUGCACGGGAAACUGGCGGGCUUGAGUCCGGGAGAGGGAAGCGGAAUUCCGGGUGUAGCGGUGAAAUGCGUAGAGAUCGGGAGGAACACCGGUGGCGAAGGCGGCUUCCUGGACCGUCACUGACGAUGAGGCGCGAAAGAUAGGGGAGCAAACGGG